rnacentral:rRNA from 1 species
AACGCGAAGAACCUUACCUACCCUUGACAUCCUCGAAAUCCUGUAGAGAUACGGGAGUGCCUUCGGGAAUCGAGAGACAGGUGCUGCAUGGCUGUCGUCAGCUCGUGUCGUGAGAUGUUGGGUUAAGUCCCGUAACGAGCGCAACCCUUGUUCCUAGUUACUAACACGUUAUGGUGAGGACUCUAGGAAGACUGCUGGUGAUAAAUCGGAGGAAGGUGGGGACGACGUCAAGUCAUCAUGGUCUUUAUGGGUAGGGCUACACACGUGCUACAAUGGGCAGUACAGAGGGUCGCCAAACCGUGAGGUGGAGCUAAUCCCACAAAGCUGUUCGUAGUCCGGAUUGGAGUCUGCAACUCGACUCCAUGAAGUUGGAAUCGCUAGUAAUCGCGAAUCAGAAUGUCGCGGUGAAUACGUUCCCGGGCCUUGUACACACCGUACGUC